rnacentral:rRNA from 1 species
UAGGGAAUAUUGCUUAAUGGGCGAAAGCCUGAAGCAGCAACGCCGCGUGUGUGAAGAAGGCCUUCGGGUUGUAAAACACUUUUUGAGGGGAUGAGGAAGGACAGUACCCUCAGAAUAAGCCUCGGCUAACUACGUGCCAGCAGCCGCGGUAAAACGUAGGAGGCGAGCGUUAUCCGGAUUUACUGGGCGUAAAGCGCGUGUAGGCGGCCAGAUAAGUCAGAGGUGAAAGCCCGGGGCUCAACCCCGGAAGUGCCUUUGAAACUGUUUGGCUUGAGUGCGGGAGAGGAAAGCGGAAUUCCCAGUGUAGAGGUGAAAUUCGUAGAUAUUGGGAGGAACAUCGGUGGCGAAGGCGGCUUUCUGGACCGACACUGACGCUGAGGCGCGAAAGCGUGGGGAGCAAAC